rnacentral:tRNA from 1 species
AGGUGAGUAGGUUAAAUAAACUAUGGGGUUCAUGUCCCCACGUUAUGCUUAGGCAUCUUACCAA